AUUUGUCGUGGGAUCGAAGCCCGCCUGUUCA
rnacentral:tRNA from 1 species